UGGCUGAGCGGUAAAGCGCUUGGCUUCCGAACCGAGGGUCCCGGGUUCAAAUCCUGG
rfam:Biomphalaria glabrata isolate BB02 unplaced genomic scaffold LGTN_random_Scaffold1228, whole genome shotgun sequence.